AUCACUUCUCGGCCUUUUGGCUAAGAUCAAGUGUAGUAAAAUGAUGACAUUAAGAUGAAAUCAUCUCUGAUGUUAGCUCCAACCACCUUAU
rfam:Myotis davidii contig160391, whole genome shotgun sequence.